CGUGUACCAACCUGCCCCAUGCUCCAGAAUAGCUCUUGGAAACGGGUGGUAAUGCUGGAUGCUCCAACUUGACGCAUGUCUUGUUGGGAAAGUGUUUAGUGGCAUGGGAUGGGGUCGCGUCCUAUCAGCUUGUAGGCGGGGUAAUGGCCCACCUAGGCUUCGACGGGUAGCCGGCCUGAGAGGGCGGACGGCCACAUUGGGACUGAGAUACGGCCCAGACUCCUACGGGAGGCAGCAGCG
rnacentral:rRNA from 1 species